GACGAACCGUGCGAACGUUGUUCGGAAUCACUGGGCUUAAAGGGCGCGUAGGCGGUCUGGCAAGUCCGUGGUGAAAUCCCCCGGCCCAACCGGGGAACGGCCUCGGAUACUUUCGGCCUGGAGGCGGGUAGGGGCGAGCGGAACUGUGGGUGGAGCGGUGAAAUGCGUUGAGAUCCACAGGAACUCCGGUGGCGAAGGCGGCUCGCUGGACCCGAUCUGACGCUGAGGCGCGAAAGCCAGGGGAGCGAACGGG
rnacentral:rRNA from 1 species